UACGAAGGGGGCUAGCGUUGUUCGGAAUCACUGGGCGUAAAGCGCACGUAGGCGGAUCUUUAAGUCAGGGGUGAAAUCCCGAGGCUCAACCUCGGAACUGCCUUUGAUACUGGAGGUCUCGAGUCCGGGAGAGGUGAGUGGAACUACGAGUGUAGAGGUGAAAUUCGUAGAUAUUCGCAAGAACACCAGUGGCGAAGGCGGCUCACUGGCCCGGUACUGACGCUGAGGUGCGAAAGCGUGGGGAGCAAACAGG
rnacentral:rRNA from 1 species